rnacentral:tRNA from 1 species
GUCAGUUUGUCCGAGUUGGUUAAGGAGUGUGAUUAGAAAUCACAUGCUCUCUGAGCGCAUAGGUUCGAAUCCUGUAGCUGACG